CAACCUGCCGACAACACUGGGAUAGCCUCUCGAAAGAAAGAUUAAUACCGGAUGGCAUAAUUAUUCCGCAUGGGAUAAUUAUUAAAGAAUUUCGGUUGUCGAUGGGGAUGCGUUCCAUUAGGCAGUUGGCGGGGUAACGGCCCACCAAACCUACGAUGGAUAGGGGUUCUGAGAGGAAGGUCCCCCACAUUGGAACUGAGACACGGUCCAAACUCCUACGGGAGGCAGCAGUGAGGAAUAUUGGUCAAUGGACGAGAGUCUGAACCAGCCAAGUAGCGUGAAGGAUGACUGCCCUAUGGGUUGUAAACUUCUUUUAUACGGGAAUAAAGUGAACCACGUGUGGCUUUUUGUAUGUACCGUAUGAAUAAGGAUCGGCUAACUCCGUGCCAGCAGCCGCGGUAAUACGGAGGAUCCGAGCGUUAUCCAGAUUUAUUGGGUUUAAAGGGAGCGUAGGCGGGUUGUUAAGUCAGUUGUGAAAGUUUGCGGCUCAACCGUAAAAUUGCAGUUGAUACUGGCGACCUUGAGUGCAACAGAGGUAGGCGGAAUUCGUGGUGUAGCGGUGAAAUGCUUAGAUAUCACGAAGAACUCCGAUUG
rnacentral:rRNA from 1 species